rnacentral:rRNA from 1 species
UACGAAUGGGGCAAGCGUUGUUCGGAAUCACUGGGCUUAAAGCGUGCGUAGGCGGACUAACAAGUCAGGAGUGAAAUCCCAGGGCUCAACCCUGGAACUGCUCUUGAAACUGUAAGUCUAGAAUCCGGUAGAGGUUAGGGGAAUUCCUAGUGUAGAGGUGAAAUUCGCAGAUAUUAGGAGGAACACCAGAGGCGAAGGCGCCUAACUGGACCGGUAUUGACGCUGAGGUACGAAAGCGUGGGGAGCAAAC